CUGCUUGGUCGGAGGUGCUGUUGUUGUCUGUCCCGAUGCCACUGUCGCUCGGGAUAGUCUCCUCGCUGUGGGACUCACUCACAGGGGACAACGUUAUCUCCUUCAGUGAGCCAAUCUCGCAAAGCUCCAUCUAUCUGUCUUUGGGGGCUAUAGAACCAAUGUCCUGCUAGAACCCACUCCUAGUGUUUCCCUGAAGAAUCCAGACAUGCGUGGCAGAAGUUUCAGAGUGGGAGAGGACGCAGAGGAAGAGACGAGAGGGGGGAAUAGUACUCCAGUACUUCUCAACUUGAACUGCUUGGGAUUCUUGGAUUCACCUGAGGACACUUUCAACGCUUAGACUCACUCUGUAACUCUAACACGGGGCUAAGAUUCUACAUUUCUAUCAAGCUCCCAGAUGGAAUGCAAG
rnacentral:lncRNA from 1 species